UAUCUAUUAUACAAGACCUAAGUUAGUUAGAAUAGAUUAUUUGUUCUUAUUGCAUACAAUUUCGUAAUAGAUUUAGAAAUCUCUUAAACAAAAUGGGGAGCUCUUUCUGCUCCUUCAGCCAAUAGCCUUUAAGAUACCAGCCCAUUUGGGUGUGGUCUCUGCUGCUUUUUAAAACAGCAGUAACUGUGAGCUCUCUCUCUUGGUUUGGACUCCACUUCCAACUAUUAGAUCCCUUUCCUGGUCGUGCAGAGGGUUGUUGUCUAGGACAGUGAUCUCAUCAAGUUGUACAAAUGGAUGUCAAACAUCACAGAAUGAUUCAUUACCUGAGGCAGAAGAUGACAUUUAUCUGAUGUGACUUGUGAGGACCUGAGGACCCAAAGGGGCAAGCACCACUGAAAUGGUAUAGUUGAGAUUGUUAAUACAAUGCUUACCAGAGUCAAGGCUUUCACAGCGACUUCUGCUCCUGUUAAAGUGGUGACAUCACUGACUCUUUUGUCACAGUUACAGGUGUCAGCAUCACACUGCAUUCCCUGCUGACCUUUCUCUAUGUGAAACUUUCCCUUCUGGGGAUUAUUCUGCUUAUCCUAGGAUUUGUUUUCUUCCAGAAGAGAAAUUAUUUCAGAAAAUGAAAAUCUGGAUUUCUGAAGCCCAUUAGGCUGUACAAGAAAACAGCCAUUUGCCAUCUCCUUUCUCUUUGAUAGCCAUCUCAACUGCUCCUGAUGUCUUCAUGGUUGUUAGAAGUCGUAUGACUGACCACCUGCAGUCAUGCAGUAUGAAUCUACAGACAAAAGCUUGGAUCUUACCACCAUACAUGUAUGAAUGGCUGUCUUCUUUCUCCCUUCCCCAAGUAGCAGGUCAAGGAAGAAGAAGGCUUAUCAAAUGGUGGUCAACAGUGCUGACUGGAUAUUCUUCCCCCACAUCCUCCAGGAAUAGCUUCCAUCGACUUCCUGUUCCUAGUGCAUUUUACAUGAUCAUAAAUGUUACACUGUCAGAUACCGUGACAAGCAACACCUUCAAGUCAGCCACUUGCAGGCCUUCUUUCUUGCUUUUUGCUACCAAGUAGCUAGACAGUUGUGUUUUGUAUUAAUCAUUGAAUACAUAUGAUGUGAGAUUCCCUUUUGUAUUCUGUCAAUACGCUUUGUAACCAUUGGUUAAUUAAAAAAAAAAACUGC